GCGCGGUCGUCUCGGCGCCCAGGUCCUCGUGAUCGUGGCUUUUCGCCCCGUAGAGGGUGUAAGGCCCGUAGCGGCGCCGGACUCGCGUAGCACGCUAGCUCCCUCGGAGUCGGGUUGCUUGAGAUCGCAGCCCAAAGUGGGUGGUAAACUCCAUCUAAGGCUAAAUACUGGACACGAGUCCGAUAGUAGACAAGUACCGCGAGGGAAAGUUGAAAAGAACUUUGAAGAGAGAGUUCAAUAGUACGUGAAACCGCACAGAGUCAAACGGGUGGAGCCGCAAUGUCGCUCGUCCCGGGGCAUUCAGCCCGUUCUUCUCGUCACCGCGCCUCCCCGUUUGGGGCUCCCUCACGGGGGUCCCUGACACGGGGUCGCUUCGAAUCGGUGGCUGAGACGGGUGCACUUGCUCCGGUUUGUCGAGAGCCACGACCGGUUCCUUCGCAGGCGGUGUGGACUCCCUUGGCCGGGUUAACGGUCGCUGAGCGUCUUCUCUUCGGGGGCUUCGCUCGGUGACUCCGGCUGGGAGGGAUACUUGCCUGGGGACCGAGGAGGACUGCAUCUGUGGCGUCGCCUCCGUUACUCUCGAGCCGUGCGCCCCUGGUGCCCGCCCCUCACGGGGUGGUGUGCCAACAGGGGCGCGAGGACGCAUCCGGGAGGGAGCGGACGGCGGCGCUGCUAGACGGUGCUGGUCGGUGGCGGAUUAGGUCGGUACUCCACCCGACCCGUCUUGAAACACGGACCAAGGAGUCCAGCAUGUGCGCGAGUCAAUGGGCGUUGUCGAAACCCUACGGCGCAAUGAAAGUAAAGGCCUCCUUCUGGGGGCCUAGGCAGGAUCCCGCUCUCUCGGGGGUGGGCGCACUGCCGGCCCGUCCCGAUCGCCUUUGACGAUGGGGCGGAGCAAGAGCGCACACGCUGGGACCCGAAAGAUGGUGAACUAUGCUUGAGCAGGACGAAGUCAGGGGAAACUCUGAUGGAGGUCCGCAGCGAUUCUGACGUGCAAAUCGAUCGUCAA
rnacentral:rRNA from 1 species